GCUUGCAGUGGGGCCAGCCCCACUGUUCAUUUGUUGGAUAACCUUGGGUGGGUUAUUUCACUGCCCUUACCUUUGAUAUUAAUAGAAACAGGAUGACAUAGGGUCAGAGAGGUUAAAUAAUUUACCCACAUGGCUUCUAGCUGGAAUCCAGUGCUUAAAAGUUCACUUUAGUGGCUCACACCCCUAAUCCCAGCACUUUGGGAGGCUGAGGCAGGCAGAUCAGCUGAGGUCAGGAGUUCGAGACUAGCCUGGCUAACAUGGUGAAACCCCAUUUCUACUAAAAAUACAAAAAAUUAUCCAGGUGUUGUAGCACAUGCUACUCAAGAGGCUAAGACAGAAGAAUCACUUGAACCCAGGAGGCAGAGGUUUCACUGGGCCAAGACUGCACCAUUGCACUAUAGCUUGGGCAACAAGAGCAAAACUCCAUCUCAAAAACAAAAGGAAAUCACAAAAGUUCGCUUUAUUGCCUUUCUGUGGCCGAACACCUGCUGGGUUCCAGGCUCUGGGGAUACACGAGGUGAACGAGACACAUGGUUGCUCCCUGUGCAGUAUGGUGAUUUCUCGGACCUCCUAUUCCUCCUUAUCAUUUCUGUUUAAGCCUGAGAAAGUCCGGUGCUUUUAAGAAUGUGUGUGGUUAGAUUUGGCUCACCUGGGUAUCCAGGCCAAUCUCCCCAUCUCAAACCCCUUGCUAAUCCCACCUGCAAAGUCCCUUUUGCUACAUAAGGUGACAUAUUCAGAGGUUCUCAGGAUUAGGGCAUGGACAUUACUGUGUGGGGAUGGACAGUGUGCCUACCUAGUCAGCCCUCUAGUCCCUGAAGAUGUUUGUUCAUCCCCAAUACAAAAUACAUCCACCCUGCUCCAAUGCCUCAUCCCAUUUUAACAUCAACUCAGGAGUCCAAAAUCUGCUCUAAAUCUCAUCACCUACAACACCUCAAUCUGGCAUGGGGGAGGCUCUGGGGAUGACCCAUCCUGUGCAGUGCCUCUUCCUCUGUGAACCUGGAACACACUAAACCAGUUACCUGGCCCUAAAGUGUAGUGAGUGGCCAUCCAGAGGAAUAUAAUCUAGUUCUGUCCCUGAUCCAAGGGACCUAAUAUGUGCUAUGGGCAAGAAAGAUAAAAAAGAAACAAACAGGCUAUACACCCAGAAAUACCAGACCCCUAAGCCUCCCUGGUCCUGUGUGACCAGGGAAAGGAGUUUCUUCAAAGGGUCUGUCGGCACCUAAUUCCAUGUUCUGUGAGCUUUGGAGAAGGCCAAGCUAGACACUCCUUCCACUGGUAUUGCUCAUUUUAGAAAAUGAGUCAGGCCAGGUGCAGUAACUCACACCUGUCAUCCCAGAACUUUGGGUGGCCAAGGCGGGCAGAUCUCCUGAAGCCAGGAGUUCAUGACCAGCCUGCCACACAUGGCAAAACCCUGUCUCUACUAAAAAUACAAAGAUUAGCCAGGCGUGAUGGUACACCUCUGCAGUCCCAGGUACUCAGGAGGCUGAAGCAGGAGAAUUGCUUGAACCCAGGAGGCAGAGGUUGCAGUGAGGUGAGAUCAUGACCCUGCACUCUAGCUUAGGCCACAGAGUGAGACUCUGUCUCAAGAAAAAAAGAGAGUCAGAGUCAGGGCCUUCCCUGGUGUCUUCAAUAAGACACCUGUGAAUUACUUGCAGGUGAAAAUUUUCCCAGAGCACAACAGCCUGGUUGUCCUGCAUGUAGGACUCUGUCAUGUAGCUAAUUAUCAGCUCCACCUGGGCUGUUUUUACCUGGUCCCUACCCAUAUCUUCAAUUAGGAUCCACCUGCUGGGGGCUCAAGAAAGUCUAAGCUCUUAGAAAUCUCUCAGGUGAAUCUCGUUAUCAAGCAGGCUUGGCAGCCACAGAUCUACAGCUUUCUGGCCCAGAGACACCUGGCACACAGGAGGGGUCAGAGCUGCCCGUGAUACUGGUUUUGAACUGGUGUAAGGCUUUCUCGAGUAGGGACCCUGGAGCCCAGGGGACCAAGACCAAGAGGUCCCUGCCUGCCCCAGGCUUCUGAGGAGGAGAAGAAAGGAAGGCUGGAAAAGCCCAUGUUUAGGAAUAGAGCUGCUCUACCUCCUGGACAUCCAGGGCCAUCCUUGAUACUGGGCUGUUGCAAGGUAAUGAUAUCAAGUUCCCUUUUUAGAAAGCCCUGUGACUGGGUGCAGUGGCUCAUACCUAUAAUCUCAGCACUUUGGGAGGCCAAAGCAGGCAGAUCACCUGACAGGUUAGGUGAUCGAGACCAGCCUGGCCCUCAUGGUGAAACCCUGUCUCUAUUAAAAAUAUAAAAAUUAGCCAGAUGUGGUGGUGUGUGCCUAUAAUCCCAGCUACUCGGGAAGCUGAGGCAGGAGAGUCGCUUGAACCCAGAAGGCAUAGGUUACAAUGAGCUGAGAUUACUCCAUUACACUCCAGCCUGGGUGUCAGAGUGAGAUUCCAUCUCAAAAAAAAAAAAAGUGAGCCCUUUUACAGAAAACUAUUAAGUAAACAAUAGAAUGGUGGUGCCUGAGUGACUGGUGUGUGGGUACUUGCUUUUCCUUGAUGUUCUGGAGUAGAGCUGCACUCUCUAAUUGAUUGUCAGCAGCCUCAUGGGUCUAUGGAGUACUUGGAAUGUGCUGGUGUGACAGGCAGAGUUGCCAAACACAGUAAAUAAAAAUUUAGGAUGCCUCCUCCAUCAGUGUGGGCUGUGCACAGUGACUUCCUUCCAGAAUGGGAGGGGGAUAAAAGAGUAACUUAACAGUGGCAAAACCUGACAGACUGCCCCAGACAGCCAGCCAAGGUUAACAUCAAGUGAUAAAUCAUGUUAAUAGCAUAUCUGGGUAAGAUACCUGAGGCCCUAGGGGCCAGGACUUAAAAGCUUCAAAUUCCACAGCCACUCCUCUUCUCACUGCCCUCACAUGGCUCCUGCAGAGAGUAGUGACAGUGCCCUAAGGGACCUUUAGGAACCUGAUGGAACCACAGGAGGUCUCUAGGAGGCCUGGAGAGGCAUGUGAGGACUUGACAUUUUCAAUAGGUACGACAGCCAGGGUUUGUGCUUGAGACCUCUGGUCAGAGCUGGCAAUGCUGCGUAAUGAAUUGCCACAAAUUUAGGAGCUUAAUAAAACAAAUAUAUUGGCCAGGUGCAGUGACUCACACUUGUAAUACCAGCACUUUGGGAGGCCAAGGCAGGCAGAUCACCUGAGGUCGGGAGUUCGAGACCAGCCUGACCAACAUGGAUAAAUCUUGUCUCUACUAAAAAUACAAAAAAUUAGCUGGGUGUGGUAGUGCAUGCCUUUAAUCCCAGCUACUUUGGAGGCUGAGGAAAAAGAAUCGCUUGAACCUAGAAGGUAGAGGUUGCAGUGAGCCAAUAUCUUACCACUGCCCUUCAGCCUGGGUGACAAAGCAAGACUCCAUCACAAGAAAAGAAUAGCCUUGUUAAAUUUCUCCCAUGUGUUGAUGCACUUGCUGUAAUAUUUAUUCCUGCUAUUAUGAAUCACCUGCUCCCAGGGCUGCCCUGCUUAUUGCGAGACAUCUUCUGUUUUCCUAAAUCUGAGAUAGUGUUUUCCCUGUCUUUACCACAUUCUCCGCCUCUCCGGCUGGUGUCAUGGCCCUUUAAGGAGAGUGAGCACAUUGGCUCUGAGAUCUUGGUCUCACCAGUUUGGCAACAGGCGCCGACUUGGCAUGAGAAAUAAAUGUUAGUGGGAAAAAUCUUUUUUUUUUUUUUUUGAGGAGUCUUGCUCUGUUGCCAGGCUGGAGUGCGAUGACACAAUCCCAGCUCACUGCAACUUCUGCCCUCCAGGUUCAAGCGAUUCUCCUGCAUCAGCUUCCCAAGUAGCUGAGACUACAGGCACGUGCCACCACGCCCAGCUAAUUUUUGUAUUUUUUAGUAGAUAUGGGGUUUCAUUAUGUUGGCCAGGAUGGUAUUGAUCUCUUGACCUUGUGAUCUGCCCGCCUCAGCCUCUCAAAGUGCUGGGAUUACAGGUGUGAACCACCGCACCCAGCCAGGAAAAGUCUUUUUAAAAAUGCACAUAUAUAGUGAAAUGCAUAUCCCAAUGCAAAUAUCAUUGCACCUGUUGAUGUGUGUCUUAAAAAGCCUGAGAUAGGGAAAUUUGGCAGGUGGAAGUUACUUUCCAACUCCUUUCUCAUAGCAUGGCACAUGGAAGAGAAGAUUUUGGCUUUAGAACUUCACUUCUUGCUCUGUCACCCAAGCUGCAAUCUCUGCCUCCUGCAAUCUCACUGCAAUCUCUGACUCCCAGAUUCAAGCAAUUCUCCUGCCUCAGCCUUCCGAGUAGCUGGGAUUACAGAUGGACUUUCGCUCUUGUCACUCAGGCUGGAGUGCAAUAGCAUGAUCUCAGCUCACCACAACCUCCACCUCCUGGGUUGAAGCAAUUCUCCUGCCUCAGUCUCCUGAGUAGCAGGGAUUACAGGUCCUUGAGGAAUGAACACACUGUCUUCCACAAUGGUUGAACUAAUGGAAACUCCCACCAGCAGUGUAAAGGUGUUUUUAUUUCUCCACAUCCUCUCCAGUAUCUGCUGUCUCCAGAUUUUUUAAUGAUUGCCAUUCUACUGGUGUGAGAAGGCCUAAUAUAUGAUCUUUCCCAGAGAACAUUCCACAUGUACUUUGAAGAAUGUAUAUUCUGCUGGGGGAACUCAUCUGUGUAUGUCUGAUUCUCCAAGCUUCCCGUGGAGCCACACCAACUGUCUUGGCACUUCGUGAGUCCAAGGCUGCUUCCCAAGCGGACCUGGUGGCAGACCAUGACAUUGAUUCCUGCCUCUAAGCCUAGCUUUAUUCUCAGCAGCCACCACCUUUUUGGUACUAGAACAGUGCUUUUUCUAGUACACUCGUAAGUGGAUGCUGAAAUCACAACCUGGCCAUUUGGAUGUUCAACGAAUGCUUUAUGCUGCGGAGUCCCAGGAACUCAAAAACCCAUGCCAGAACUCACCAACCCAUGCCGGAACUCACAGGGCUCAGGCUCAAGUAUAGUACUAUCUUGACACUGCGACCACUGCCUCCUGGGUUUAUGUGAUUCUCCUGUCUCAGCCUCUGGAGUAACUGGAACUACAUGUACUCACUGCCAUGCCCAGCAUUAUGCGUUGUCCUGUGUCUCCCUGAAAGACGCUGAAGCCCUACGCCGCAGGGUCUGUGGAGGCGACCUUAUUUGGAAAUAGUCUCUUCACAUGUGAUCAAGGUAAGCUGAGGUAAUGAGGGUGAAUCCUAAUUCCAUGUGCCUGGUGUCUUUAUAAAAAGGGGAUGUGUGGACAAAGACACCUACAAAGGGAAGACAAUGUCAAGACAGAAGACCACUCUACAGGCCAAGGAACUCUGAAGGCUAUGAGAAUCCAGGAGCGAGACCUGGGACAGAUCCUCCCUCACAACCUUCACAGGAAAAACAAACAAAAAACCAAAAACCCCUUGAUUUCAGACUCCUGGCCUCCAGAACUGUAAGAAUAAAUGUCUGUGGUUAAAGCCAUAAAGUUUAGGGUACUUUGUUAAAGCAGCAUUGGGAAAUGAAUGUAGAUUUCUUCGGGCGUGCAUCAACACUUCUGCAGGAAAUUUAGGACGUGGCAUGCUUGAACUUAUAAUUCAUACCUUUCUCUACUCUGAAUUCUUUUUUUGAGAGACAGGGUCUCACUCUGUCACUCAGACUGGAGUACAGUGGCACAAGCAUGGCUCACUGCAGCCUCCACCUCCUGGGCUCCACAAUCCUCUUGCCUUAGCCUCCUGAGUAGCUGAGACUUCAGGCACAUGCCACUGUGCCUGGCUAAUUUUUAAAAAAUGUUUUGUAGAGAUGGGGUCUUGCUAUGUUGAACAAGUUUACCUGGAAAUCCUAGCCUCAAGUGAUCGUCCCAUCUUGGCCUCUCAAAGUUCUGGGAUUAUAGGUAUAAGGCAUUGUAACUGGUUUGCUUUUUUUUUUUUUUUUUU